GCAACUUACAAAUGAAAAGCAUGCAGAAGAGAAACCUAUUAAUGCUAUUAUUAUAAAUUCAGUAUCCGAAUUCAGUAUCACAGAUGGACCAGCCCAGGAAAGCCCCAAUGAGAAAAACCUGUCAGGAUCGAGCACUUCACUCUCCUCCCUCGAAGAAUGCCAAACGAAAUUUCCAUACCUCCAAACUAAUACUUCAGUUCAUCAGAGAGAUGCUGAUGAGGAGUGUGCCUCCCUGAUCCUCACCUGCCUCUUUUGCCAAUUCUUGGACUGCCUCCUCAUGCUCCCUGACACGUGUGAAACGGUAUGCAUCAACCUAUGCUGCCCCUCUCACAGGUAUUACUCCGCCUCAGAUGAGAACCAUCCACGCAAUGAUUGCAACUUGACCUGUGAUGUGGACUGUAGCCUCUUUGAAUCCUGCCACGAGACUAGUGAGUGCCUGGAGCUGGCCAUGGAGAUAUCAGAAAUCUGUUACCGCUAAUGCAAGGAGAGAGAAGCAUGUGGGCGGUCGGUCCUGUUGGCCACAGUGGGGAAUUCUAUUACAUUGCAUCUGAGAUAAGAGUUCCAUGUGCCCAAAUGCAAGGACCAUACAUGUUUCUUGGAUGCUCUAGGCCAUUUUAUGCUGCACCUGCCUGGGAAAGCUACUACUGUCAACUCAGUGGUCUUGUUCCAAAUUUCACAACCGCAUGGCUCACUGCAAAAUAUGAUUCUUGAUCACACACAUGAUGAACAAAUUGCAAAUAUCUCUUAAAUGCCAUAGGUACAAGAUGUUUCUUGACUGUUAAAUAGCAUGCUAAACCACACUGCGCUCUUGACUCGGCAGCCUGCAUUGUGGCUCCAACUUCAUUCAUGAAUUCAGAACAAAUUGUGCUUUCUUGUAGGCUCAACACACAUUAGUUAUCUUUCUGAUGGACUCAUGCAUAAACAUUAUGCAUUAUUGGUUAUUAUUAAUAAUGUAUUGUGUAACAUCAUUUUGUAAUUAAAAAUUUAUUUAUACAGUCUCUUAAAAUUCACUUAUAUGUACAGCUUAGGUAGGAAAGGGAAUUAAAUGAAUCAGAAACCAUGUUCCUAUAAUUAAAGCAGAUGUCUUUGAAACCUCUCCAAUGAAUCUUGAAUCUAGUAGACUUCAGGAGAGCCCUAUAAUUCUAGACAAUAUCAUUAUAUGUCUGUGACUGUAUCUUAAGAGGUCAUGCAUAUUCUUAAUUGGUUACAUAAACAUGCUUCUUUAUUAUAAUAAGCAAAAAAUGGAAGCCGUGUAUGUGUUUCAGGAAUAUGAUCUAUGAUAAUAUCUUCACUUUCCUCACUUCUGUUUGUUAGGCUUAAUAAGCAACAGGAUAUUCAAAAGAAAUCAGUCCAUUUUACUAAACUAUCACCUAAAAUAAAUACACCUGCAGAAACUUGCUCAGCUCCCACUGCCCAACGCAGCAUGCAUGCCCUGGAAACCACAAUUCUAAAACCAAAUUUGUAUUUAUUUUUCUGUUAAUAAAGUAACUGAUGACUGCAUUGAAACCUCUUUACCCUUAAACUGCUGCAAAAGGCAUGCUGUGUGCUAUGAAGUUACUUUCAAAUGAAAUAAAUCAAAACACACACCUGGCAGGAAAGGCACAUCUAGGUUGAAGUAACUUGGAAGUCUCCAUACUCUGUAGGUGGGGACCAGUGAGGGAAAGACUUUGUUCAUAGGCAUGCAUGCAUGUAUCACCAUUGAUGGAACACAGUGGGUUUCAUAUGAACAGACAAAGCAUGACAUAGCAGCAAACAAACAGAGCAGACAAUGGAAAGUGGGGGCUGAGAGAUACUGAUGUGGGUGGAAGGAAUAAGCAUUAUGACAGCCCCCCCAAUAAUUGUUUGAUUUUUACAUUGUUUCGCUCUCCUGCUUUGGGUAAUUUUAGACAGAAGCAAUGUCUGUAUAGUAAACCACCCUGAUUUUUCUACUCUGUAGUAAUUUUCAAAGAUGGGACAGAAUUAAUCCUUAAAAACUGAUGCUGAGCUGCCUUGAGAUUGUAUUCAACCCCUCUUGGCUUGCUCCUGAAAGCAGGGUAUAUCUAUGGUUAAUGCUGGCUUUCUUCUUGUGUGGCUGUUGUGUUAUUCAUGGACCACAAAGAAUAAGAUUAUGCCAUCCCUAGUCCCCAAUAUUUCUUUUUCUCUCCCUUUCAGAAGCUCAAAGUUACAACUCUCAACUCUGUGUAUAUAAUUCACAGAUCAUUAAAAAUAAUGUGGAAGGGCAUGGUGGUACCCACCUGAAUUUCAGCACUUGGAAAAUCAAAUCAGGGGUAUCAGAAAUUCAAUGUCUCAUCAGAUACGUAGCAAGUUGGAGACCAACCUGGUCUACACAAAGAGUGUCAUUAAAAUUAUGAAAACACAAAGCAAGCCCCAUGAAUGAGUAGAUCCAAGAUAACAUGGUGAGUUCAUGAUCAGGAUCCUAACUCGGGGUUUAACUCUGCUUCCUUACAUGACAGUUCUUCACUCAUUAACAUCGAAAACAUUAGAACACUGCCCCCUGAUGACAAACAAUGACAACCUUGAACCCCUUAUGCUUCCAACCCCCAACACUCUGUCUCUUCUCCAAGCACCCAGCUCUCAACUCACAUCCUAGUCACCAAAGAAGGACCCAUAGAGGUCUUUGGAACUCCACCCCAACAGUACUUAUUUAUGUAUCUGGUCUCAUUGCUCAGUCUGUUAUAUUUGUGUUCAAUGUUUUGCCAUCAGCCCCUCAUUCUUUCUCAACCACAUACCUUCAAUUUAAAAAAAGACUGUGCAUUUCACAUAUAAAUUCAAUGAUUGUUGUUUCGAGACACACACUUCAGCAGCUCUUCCUUGACAGCCCUGUCAGAACCCUUUAGAACCCUCCCACGGCCUUGCUUUCCACAGUUGGCUAACUUGUUCCUCACUCUGAGAAUUCACCAUGCUCAACAAAAAAGGGUCAGUUAGACAAAGUGUGAAAUUUCUUUUCUUUACAGCCAAUAAUAAAAUAUCAUCCUUUUUUUUUCAAACUUGAAUGGUGAUUUCAAUUGAAUUCCUACGCAAUAAAACAUGGGCAGCUGGGAAAACACAAUUGCAGCAGUAAGCCAUAUCAAAGCCGAACACAGUUAAUGAUUAAACACAAAUAUUAGGAUCUGAGAAGGCAUGGGUAUUCUACACCAAUAAUGAAGGUCUGUGAUUACAAAUUGAGAUAAUGCUGUACUUCAAGGUAGGCCUUCUUAGGGAAUGCAGCAUUCUACUUUAAGGAAGCACACUAGAAUCAAAGAGAUUAUUGAAUAUACAUACAGUCCUUUUUGGAGAAUGGAGAAAAGAGAUACCCCCACCCAGGCCUGUAACCAUACAGUUACAAUGUCUUUGCUUUGCUCCAUGGAUUUUUAUAAAACCAUUACUCUGCUAAAAAGCCACCAAAAUAUGGAAAGCAAUGAAGAAAUGAAGUUAUAUUUCACUUGCUAAUGAAAUCACCCCACUACCUGAGCUGAGAGGCCUACAAAAUUAACUGCAAUGCUGGACAAUCAAAGUUAAUAGAGUGAAAAGUACUUCAGAUUUUCUUCCAAGAUGAUCAAAAAAACAUAUCCAUGCAGGGAAACUUUACCAAUAGGAAUCCUCAAGGAGAUCCUUCAGAAUUGCUUUCAAGGAUAAACACACAGGUAGAAGAUGUUUGAAGAAGGAAUUUCAUCACUCAGGACAGGCUCCAUCAAGUUCUGUUGCGUGAAGAAGAGGGAAAUGGCUUCUCCAAAGCUAGACAGAUCCCAGAGGGAUAAUCAGCAGCUGUUCAGCUAACGAACCUGAGCAUUUACUCCAGCCUACAAUACUGUGUGUAUAUUAUUGUUCAGGCCUAACAGUUUCAUCUUUCCACCCUUGCUGGGUCUUUCCACAUGACAGGCAGCUACCUCAUGGUCAGGAUGCCUGUGAAACUGUAAAGGCAAGCAGAACAUCUGUAAAAAAGUACUCUGAUGCAGAAACAUCCAUGUUGACUCUUCUGGUUUUAUCCAAUGUAAACACAGUCAUUAUUAGGAAUGCCAUUCCUCCUAAGAACUGGGGGAACUAGAGGUGUUGAAAUCAUGCUUACAACGUUGCACUUUCCUGCAGAUGAAGCAGAUGACUCCCCAGGACUCUAGAUCCAAGAUGCAUCCUCUAGGUUCACAGUCCCAAAUACCCUCCCUUCCAGUCUCUGGUAUUAUUUAGCUGUUAGGAGAUUCCUGAUCUAGAAUGUUUUCUUAUUCUGUGGGAAUGUUUUAACCCAAGGUUUCCAGUUAACUAUAGAAAGUAGGGUAAGAAGGUUACAGUCUAUACAUAUAAAUGUCUUCAAAUCCUGACACCACCAUUUACUAAGGAAUAACACAGAACUGUUAUGAAGUGUGAUAUUUGGAUCCUACCCUACUGGGUCACUGAUAGGAAUAAGCAGAAAAUUAAACAAGAUCCACUUGACUUAUGUGUCUCUUGGAAGUUUCUUGGAGGGUCUCCUUGGAAACACAGGACAUCUGAGAAGUUUGGUCCUGAGCUACUCCUCAACUCACAAUAUCAACCCCAACCCUCCUAACAAUUAAAAACAAAUCUUUCUUUGAAAACAAAACUUCCAUGAUUAAAAAUAAAGAGAAUAUUAUUAGGAUUUGAUUUCUGAGAAUGGAUGAAUACAUACAUGGUCAUACAAAGUUUAAAAAGCCAUCAUGUUAAUAAAUCUUCUGGUUCUUGGAAGAGCAGGCAAAGUUGAGAGUGAAUUGCAUAGGAAUAAAGACAGGGUCUCUCAGCCCGUGAGGCAAUAGCAGGUAAGGAGGUCUGUAUAGGACACACUGUAAUCCCCUGGCAAGAGUGGGCCAAGACUAGAGAACCAUGAUCACUUUAAAUGUCUGUGAGGCUGCUGAGUAAAAGGUAGAAGUUGACUUAUGGGUACAUUCUGGAUUUGCCAUGCUGGGAAGUAAUAUUAUGUAUUGAUUUAUUUAUUUGUGUGUUUGUUUGAUUGGUUGGUUCUCUCACUAUAAGAAAGGAGUUUCCAGAAAGCAAUGGAUAGUAACAACCCAAGAUUGACUCCUUGUUGUCGUGCAUGGUCUUAGCAACAUUCAGAUAGUCUGUGCAAAGUUUGCAAGCAUCUUCCUAGAAGCUCAUGGGAAAAUUCAGUAACUGGGUAGUGUUUAGCCUCAGAGACAAUAGGACUGUGUUG